rnacentral:rRNA from 1 species
UGGAGAGGUUUGAUCCUGGCUCAGGAUGAACGCUAGCGGCAGGCCUAACACAUGCAAGUCGAGGGAGAAGCCUUUCGGGGCAGAAACCGGCGCACGGGUGCGUAACGCGUAUGCAACCUACCUUUCACAGGGGGAUAGCCCGAAGAAAUUUGGAUUAAUACCCCAUAACAUUGUGAGAUGGCAUCAUUUAGCAAUUAAAACUACGGUGGUGAAAGAUGGGCAUGCGUCCUAUUAGCUAGUUGGAGUGGUAACGGCACCCCAAGGCUACGAUAGGUAGGGGUCCUGAGAGGGAGAUCCCCCACACUGGUACUGAGACAGGGACCAGACUCCUACGGGAGGCAGCAGUGAGGAAUAUUGGUCAAUGGUCGGAAGACUGAACCAGCCAUGCCGCGUGCAGGAAGAAUGCCUUAUGGGUUGUAAACUGCUUUUAUAUGGGAAGAAUAAAGUGUACGAGUACAUUGAUGACGGUACCAUAUGAAUAAGCAUCGGCUAACUCCGUGCCAGCAGCCGGGUAA